UUGGAGAGGUUGAUCCUGGCUCAGGAUGAACGCUGGCGGCGUGCCUAAUACAUGCAAGUCGAGCGAACAGACGAGGAGCUUGCUCCUCUGACGUUAGCGGCGGACGGGUGAGUAACACGUGGAUAACCUACCUAUAAGACUGGGAUAACUUCGGGAAACCGGAGCUAAUACCGGAUAACAUGUUGAACCGCAUGGUUCAACAGUGAAAGACGGUCUUGCUGUCACUUAUAGAUGGAUCCGCGCCGCAUUAGCUAGUUGGUAAGGUAACGGCUUACCAAGGCAACGAUGCGUAGCCGACCUGAGAGGGUGAUCGGCCACACUGGAACUGAGACACGGUCCAGACUCCUACGGGAGGCAGCAGUAGGGAAUCUUCCGCAAUGGGCGAAAGCCUGACGGAGCAACGCCGCGUGAGUGAAGAAGGUCUUCGGAUCGUAAAACUCUGUUAUUAGGGAAGAACAAAUGUGUAAGUAACUAUGCACGUCUUGACGGUACCUAAUCAGAAAGCCACGGCUAACUACGUGCCAGCAGCC
rnacentral:rRNA from 1 species